UACGAAGGAGGCUAGCGUUGUUCGGAAUUACUGGGCGUAAAGCGCACGUAGGCGGGUUUGUAAGUAGGGGUGAAAUCCCAGGGCUCAACCCUGGAACUGCCUUCUAGACUGCAAGCCUGGAGGUCAGGAGAGGCGAGUGGAAUACCGAGUGUAGAGGUGAAAUUCGUAGAUAUUCGGUGGAACACCAGUGGCGAAGGCGACUCGCUGGACUGAUACUGACGCUGAGGUGCGAAAGCGUGGGGAGCAAACAGG
rnacentral:rRNA from 1 species